rnacentral:rRNA from 1 species
GACAGAGGGUGCAAGCGUUGUUCGGAAUUACUGGGCGUAAAGCGCGUGUAGGCAGCUUCGCAAGUCGGGUGUGAAAGCCCUGGGCUCAACCUAGGAAGUGCACUCGAAACUGCGGAGCUUGAAUCUCGGAGAGGGUCGCGGAAUUCUCGGUGUAGAGGUGAAAUUCGUAGAUAUCGAGAGGAACACCGGUGGCGAAGGCGGCGACCUGGACGAUGACUGACGCUGAGACGCGAAAGCGUGGGGAGCAAACAGG